rnacentral:rRNA from 1 species
UACGAAGGGGGCUAGCGUUGUUCGGAUUCACUGGGCGUAAAGGGUGCGUAGGCGGUCGGGUAAGUCUGAUGUGAAAUCUCACAGCUUAACUGUGAAACUGCAUUGGAUACUAUCCGGCUCGAGGAAUGGAGGGGAGACUGGAAUACUUGGUGUAGCAGUGAAAUGCGUAGAUAUCAAGUGGAACACCAGUGGCGAAGGCGAGUCUCUGGACAUUUCCUGACGCUGAGGCGCGAAAGCCAGGGGAGCAAACGGG